UUAGUUCAUCUUGCAGUGUGUUUGUAUUUUUUUGUUCGAUAUAAUACACUAUGGUGUUUAUUUUGUCCAAAAUUCCUGAUCAUUCUUUUUUCAAAGAAACCUGCUCUAUAGUGUUUUUCAGGCUAGCUGCUGCAAGGCCUAGAUGGUGCCUCCCCCCCCCGGGUGGCUCAGCAGUGCAGAAGCGACAACAGGUGUGCCUUAUCAGCAAUCCUCAGCUGGAACUAGGAGCAGGUGGAGAUCAUCUAAUCAAGCACACCCUGCCUCAGUAUAACCAGACGCCUCACAUCUCAAGCGCCAGAUCGUGACACAUCAGUUUUGGUUCCACCUGCUCCUAGUAGAGUCCUCUACACCUGAUUCUGGUCUCUGCUUCAGCGAGAAGGGAAAUCUCUCCAGGCUGCCGGUGGCUCAGCAGUGCAGAAGCGACGACAGGUGUGCCUCAUUAGCAAUCCUCAGCCAGAACUAGGAGCAGGUGGAGAUGGUCUAAUCAAGCACACCCUGCCUCAGUAUAACCAGGCGCCUCUCAACUCAAGCGCCAGAUCAUGACACAUCAGUUUUGGUUCCACCUGCUCCUAGUAGAGUCCUCUACACCUGAUUCUGGUCUCCACUUUGGUAAGAAGGGAAAUCUCUCCAGGCUGUCGUAAGUAAAGUUUAUUUAUAUAGCACUUUUCACAGAUAUAAAAAUCACUGCUUUGCAUUCAAAGAAAAAUGAGACAUUAAAAUAAAGCUCCAUGAUGUAAAAUCACGUGGAAAGAC